rnacentral:misc_RNA from 1 species
GUGAAUCAUCAAAUCUUUGAACGCAAAUUGCACUCUCCUCGGAGAGUAUGCCUGUUUGAGGGUCAGCCUAUAAAAAAUCGACAUCGUUGCUGUUUCGCGGUGGCGUUCGUCGGAAAUUGGGUCAUCUUAAAUCCUUUUGAUUUAAGCGACUUAAAAUUUUCUUUUUGUUUCAUUAACGUUUCUAAGGUCUAUUUUCUAUACGCGUAUGGUAUC